rnacentral:lncRNA from 1 species
UUGAACUAACGUUUCAUUGUGUUUGAAAUUUUCACGCUUCAAACAAGUCGCUCUGUUUCUGCUGCUACUUUUUCAUUUAUAAUCAGUUAAUUUGCCAAUAAACGCAGAAAAUUUGGUGAAAAUGUGAAAAAAGCUUGCUGCUCUUCCCGCUGGCCCUGCGGAAGGCUAAUUUGGCUGAGAUUUUACAAGUUAGCCAUCUCCUAGUGGACUGAAUCAACUGGACCGGCCCUCAAUGUUCUCCGCCGUGAAAUCAUUUUGUUUCUUCGAAACAGGUUCAUCAAUCAACUCGGGAGUGCGAGAGCUCGAGCCUCGUUGCCGAGCCAUGGAUGGCGCCGCGAAAGUUCUCAAUUCUUGAAUGUUCCGCCCUGAAGGAUGCCCAACACAGGAAAAGAAAAUAAUUUGGAAAUAAAUAAUGCUGUGUGGAAACGC